CCACUGUUUUACCAAGAAGUAAUGUGAAUAACGGUUGAGCAAUUGAAAAUCUCUUGUAAGGUUACAAUUAUAUAUGUAUGUUUUAUGUACUAAAACGGACUUUGGACUUUGCGUUUUUCACCUAGUGAGGAUUUACCAAAAAAUGAACUUAAAUUUUCUGAACUAAGUAACAAACGUCAUUAAGAUAACUUUUAUGACAAAAAAGUUUAGUUUCGGCAAUUCCAAUCGAAGGCUUAUAUUCAAACGACCUACAUAUCUGCACUUAAUACAAAAACUACUUUCUGAUGUUAGAACCCAUCUGAGACUUAAGUAACUGUCGUAAGUAGCUGCAAUUUUAAUUUUGAAAUUCAAUAGUUAAUUCUUCUGACUAGGUCAGGAUUUUUAUAUAGGAAUGUUAUUUUUGGAAAAAAUGUAGAUUGAUCAUAUUGAACAUAAGCCCUCGAUUUACUACAUAAAUACACAUCGAUACCUUAAUAUAGAAAGGCCCUAGCUCAUAUAGUCGUUGAAAUCCAAAAAACCCGUAACUAACUAAAAUUUUUGUUAUUGCUUAAAACGAUAUGGGGACUUAUAAUUCGAUGAUUUGUAUGAUAAUCAAUCAAAAAGUGAAUUUUGAAUUUCUAGAUAGUUACGGCUUUUUAUAUUCCUGCGAAAUAGGACCUUUCUAUAUUGCGGUAACCAUAAGAUCGUAUGUAAGUAUGUAUGUUUUCUGUUGUUGAUUUUUGACGAUAUUUAUAAACUACUUAUCAUUAGUGUUUAUUUUAUUUUACAUUAUUUUAUUUAAAUUUUUGUUUUUGAAGUUAGGUUUUUUAGCGGGGGUAGUGAACAAAAUUAUCGCCACGCAAAUUGUGACACUUGCAAUGUAACGGAAGUGCAUACAUUUUUCCUUUUCUUCUGCUUAAGGUUUAACGACAAAGACUUAGCCUAAGACAAAGACGAAGACACAUCGUCGCUACCACAUCGAACUAUCGAAUGUGCAAAAAUGCUUUUUCAUUUACGAUACGUUUCGCGUUUACGUAAUUUGGAAAAUCGUCGAAUUUCUAGUCUGCUUAGAAGCAGAGGAUACAAAGUGUCGAAUCCCACACUUUUUCCUAAUGUCAACAACAUUUUUUACGACUGUUUCUUUGCUCCCUUGAAAAGUACCGAUUUUCAUAUUCGAUAGUUUGGCAUGGUAGCGACGACAUGUUUUAAACGAAGACGAAUACAAAUACGAAGACGGAUCAUCAGUAACGGACGGUGUCGUCAGUAACUUAACCUUACUUUUUCGAGACGUCUAGUCCUGCAAUAUAGUAGAAAAUGUAGUGGUAGAAAAUGUACCAAUUCUGUCCGACUUUUCCUCCAUUAGUGCAUACUAUUUCAAAACAAGUUUAGGAAACUAUAUAAAUAGUUAGGAGUUUUCAAGUAUGAAUAUAUGUUUGUAUCGUGCUCCAAAGGGCUGGACCAUUUAUUAAAACUAAUAAAUAA